rnacentral:lncRNA from 1 species
AGCUAUGAUCUUGAAGAACAAGAACAAAGUGACAGAAACUGUUAAAAGAUCUGCUUCACUGAAGGCAACAAGACACAAAUUUCAGGAAGGGCCUAUAUAAGAAAGAAGGAACGGACGCACACCUCCCCAAGGAGCCCUGGCACUAACUACAACACACACAGGGUUUGGCCAGACCUGGACCAGCUUUUGGAAAACACUAACUCAACUGUUAUCCAACUUGCUGCAGUUAACCACCUGUCAGUCACCCAUCAGGGGGCAUGAAGCUCUGGUUUGAUCACUUUGCUAAGGGCUGCACAAGGAAGAAAAAAAGUCAUAAAACACUAUAUUGUCAAGCAGUACUCACUGCUUCUCCUCUUCACUGUCCUCUACCUUGAGUCCCUCAAAAUAUUUCACCUGCAUGACAUUUCUUCACUUGAGAUGCUGUUUGCCCUUUAAAUGGCAUCUUAGCA